CGCGUAGGCGGUUUUCCAAGUCAGGGGUGAAAGCCCGGGGCUCAACCCCGGAAUAGCCCUUGAAACUGGAGAACUAGAAUCUUGGAGAGGUCAGUGGAAUUCCGAGUGUAGAGGUGAAAUUCGUAGAUAUUCGGAAGAACACCAGUGGCGAAGGCGACUGACUGGACAAGUAUUGACGCUGAAGUGCGAAAGCGUGGGGAGCAAACA
rnacentral:rRNA from 1 species